CAGGACAGCAUUAGAAUUUUACAGCUAAACAUAGGGUAACUGCUAUAGGCACUUUGUUCUCCAAGGUUCAGAUCGACCUUGGAGUUUCUGUUUCUCCCAAAUUAGGCAGUUUUGUGAGUUGUACUCAUUUGUGUACCCACUUCUGUCACCCAGCUCCAUCCCAACAGAAGAAUUGGGUUUUGAAGAAAAAAAGAGGCCUGGGCACAUUGCUGCCGGUUCCUUCCCUAUGCCACAGGGAGUAUGAUAUAUAUAUGCCCUUGCUCUUGCAAAAGGGAAAUAUCACACAUGUAUGAUCAAUACUGAUGCUGGGGAAAGCUCCCACCUGUCCUUCUAUAGCAAACUCUACUAGGACAGCAAGAGCAUGGGAUUGUUUUUUGUUUCUUAAAUCAUUAUUCUUAUUUUCUGGGAGUUGUAUCUGUGUAGUAAUUUAAGAUGGCAGCUUUCCAAGGCUUUGCUGUGGUUCUAAUUUAAUUGAGUAUGCUGUUUAAUUUUUUAACUUGAGCUUUUUCCUCAUAUUCAAAAGGACUCCCGUUGUCCUUUAUUAUUAAUGAGAUCAAAGCAAGCAGAAUGGCUGCCAUUUCUCCUUAGUCUGGAAGUGAAACUAUCCAUAGUAGAAAAGCUCAGUGCUGUCUGCACUUGUCAGCAGCCCUGAAAGCAAUACCAUCAGCAAAGCAUCUGCCUUUCUUUGGUCUGGUGAGCUGGACACAGACAGUGAGCAGGAAUAAUGUUCUGCCAGAAAAAACAGAUGAGGAAACAAGGAUGGCACCUGCAGAACAGGGGACAGGCUGAAGAGUUACUGUGGGGUGGGGCACUGGAGUGUGCACAAUGCAGGGCAGAAAACCUGAGGGGGAAAAAAAUAGGUUUCUUUUUCUAAUGUGUGGAAAAUUGUGCCUCUUCCAGGCAGCCCAGGUGAAAAAGAAAAAAAAAAAAAACCGACCACAAAAGUUGCCAUCAAUUUUGAUUAGGAAUUUAAAGAUGCAGUAUGACUUUGUACUCUCAUACACUCUGGAAUGUGGUUGUAUUAUUCCCCCUUCGUGGCUUCCUUCCCAAAGUUUCCAAAACAGGUGUUUCAUGGAGAAGCAUACAGUUAUAUUUCCAUAAAAACCAGAACAACAAAAACUCCCCAGAAACUCCAUGCGUAUCUGAGUUUUAACUGGACAGCUCACUGACACUUGCACAGGGGCCAGAGUCCAGGGUGCCAGGACCCAAGGGUAGAAAGCAAGAAUAAUUCUGAAAGGGAGCAUCAUCAGUAAGAAAGAGGAGGAAAAAACCAGCUGAAAGAUAGCAUAAAACUGAGACCGGUAGAAAAAUGUGGUCACUGAAAAUCUCUGCAAGGCAGAAUGAAGGUGAUGGUGGGGAAAAUGUGGGGAAGAUCUUAUGUGGCAGGGAGUGGGAAGCUCUGGGAGGUUUCUUGGCUCGUGGGCCAGCACUGCGCGCAGCAGGACGUGCUCUGUCCUCACACGGAGCUCUCAGGAGCUGCGCUCUUCUCCUCGCCCCGAUCAGCCAAGACCCUGCAGAGAGAGCUGCGUGGGGAGGCAGGAGGGAGAUGACGGCAGCAGCGGGCUGUGAGUACCAGGAGGAAGAGCUGUGAAGGGAAAUGGCCCAGGGUCACCCCGCGUGAGGUGGUGUGAACCCUGAGGAAGGCGGCAGGAGCUGUUCCCAUGAUUUUGCCUCCAGCAGCUCGGGAACAAAGAGCAGCCACGCUGGGAUCUUGGAGCACUUGUAGACUGCUAUGUCAAGCAGUACAGAAGAAGAACAAGCCUGGGUUCAUGUACUGAAGACUGCACAGUAACAAAAGAGGAAAGAUAAAUAUAAAUGAGAGAACACUGCAAGCUCCCAUUCUCAGAAGGUCACAAGCAGCCUAGAAGAAUACUCUAGCAGACCAUUAAAAAACCAACAGCGCUGCACUACAGCACAUUCAGCUUCUCCUUCAUCUGAGGGAUACCUGCACACACCGGAGGGGUGGCUGUAACAGCAUCAUGACCUGCCUUCCUCUACAUCCGGGAAUGAGGCCGGGACAGGACAACGCGAACCACGGGUACAGAACCCCAACUGAGGGGAGGUGGAGGGGUUUGCAGAGCUUUAACCCCAUCACAGGCAUCAUCUUGGGCAAAGCGUAACACGGCCGGCAACAAGGCGCAGGGAACGCCUGGUGCCUGGUGGACGCCGACCAUUGCAUGGCCAACGCGCUCCUCGUGCUUUGUAACGAGGGCAGCCCGGCCGCGGCGGCUCUCGCCUGCCUUCCACCCCACAUCCCGAGCCAGACCCCCGGCGCGGGUGAGGGCGGGCAGGGCUGACCCUUCGGGCCGUACCUUCUGC